CCUACGGGUGGCAGCAGUGAGGAAUAUUGGUCAAUGGGCUUACGCCUGAACCAGCCAAGUCGCGUGAGGGAAGACUGCCCUAUGGGUUGUAAACCUCUUUUGUCAGGGAGCAAUUGGCGCUACGUGUAGCGUUAUCGAGAGUACCUGAAGAAAAAGCAUCGGCUAACUCCGUGCCAGCAGCCGCGGUAAUACGGGGGAUGCGAGCGUUAUCCGGAUUUAUGGGGUUUAAAGGGUGCGUAGGCGGAAUGCCAAGUCAGCGGGAAAAUCGCGGGGCUCAACCUCGCUCCGCCGUUGAAACUGGCGUUCUUGAGUGGGCGAGAAGUAUGCGGAAUGCGUGGUGUAGCGGUGAAAUGCAUAGAUAUCACGCAGAACUCCGAUUGCGAAGGCAGCAUACCGGCGCCCAACUGACGCUGAAGCACGAAAGCGUGGGUAUCGAACAGGAUUAGAUACCCUUGUAGUC
rnacentral:rRNA from 1 species